rnacentral:lncRNA from 1 species
GGUCGGUCCGCCUGCUGUUAAGAUGGCGGCGGAGGCUGAUGUCUGUCCGGCCAGGACCCAGCACAGAGGUGUUGGCUAUCUGCCUUUAUGACGCCUCUGAGGUGCCCAGCGUUAAGGAGGUGACGAUUGGCGAAACGCCGGGGUGCCGGUAAACUAGACCUGAGGCGAAGACCACCUCGUUUCUUGUCCGUUGAGGCGACACCAUUUCCUGGGCCUCGGCCGCGUGUGGGCCCGCCUUUGCCCC